GUGCCCACUUGGGCAGCACGUAUAGUAAAACUGGACCAGUACAGGGAAGAUCAGCACGUUGCCUGCCAGAGGGUGACAGAGAAAUUCUCAAAGUGGUCCAGAUUUGU